rnacentral:lncRNA from 1 species
GGAAGGCUUAUGUGAACUGAUGCAAAGUGAAGUGAGCAGAACCAGAACACUAUACCUACUAAUGAGAAUUAGAUUCCAGAAGUAAAAGCACAGAGUGAGGAGAAAGAUCAGAUCUCGACAGAUAUAUGACUGAAAAGAGCUUUGUACCCACCAAAAAAAGACAUCCAGACUUCACAAAGAUCCACCCAUAAAGGAGACCCACCAGACCAUGAGCACAGGAUUGGAGACGUCAGCCAUUGCUUCACUCUUCAUCUGGUUUUGGAGGUUCUCCACAGUAAAGAUAAGAGAACCUGAAGCCCCCGGAAGAAAGCUGAUUUGCCCAAGGUUACUCAGGCAGAAAAGGAGGAGGGGCAAAAAUAGAAAGAUGAGGAAAAGUAUGGGGAAGAGGAAGAAAGACAGAGAAGAAGUAGAGGAAGAAGAAAGAGGAGAGAAAGAAGAGAAGGAAUUACUUUUUAUUUACUUUACAAAUAUAUCAUAUUUAUUUUGAUAUAUAUUAUUUUCCCUCCACUGAAGUUUAAGUUCCUUCAGGACAUGGAUUGCUGAUUUUUUUUUUCUUUGAAUUCCCAAUGGCUAGAAGAGGUGUCCACCUAUGGUAAACACUUUAAUAAUGCUUAUGAUGAAUUAAAUUAAAUCAAACCCAGUCAACUUAGUUGCCUCCUAAAGCUGUUUGGAGCUCUGUGAAUAUCACUCAGGUACUUUGGUGGGCUUGUGAUCUCACUGAUACAGAUUCUUAGGGCUAGUACAAAGCAAAACAUUUAUACAAAGUGUUAUAAUGUACAAAGCACAACCAUGAUGUCUCAUUCUACAUGAUCCUCUUCUAUAUUCUCCUACAAAUUCUUCUCAAAAGUCCAAUCCAACUCACUGGCCACUUUCCUUGGAGUCUUUGGGAAGCAGUUACCUUUUCUCCGUAGUCCCUAAUUUUCACUAAAUGACUGUCCUACCUCCUUUUUCUAUCAUACUUGUCUUCAGUUCUAGUUUUUACAUGCAAAUCAUCAUUGUGUCAGAUUGUGGGUCUCUUUAUUGUUCUUUCUGUCCCAGCAAUUUUGCUUCUUUGCCAGUCACAGUGAUCUAUGAUUUACAACUUUGUGUCCUCACCAGAAGGCUAUUGCUAUUCAAUAAAUGAAUUUUAGUAGGAUCCUGCCA